rnacentral:rRNA from 1 species
AAAAUAUGGGAUACGUCCUGCCCUGUGAUAUUUCAACGGCCGCGGUAUCCUAACCGUGCAAAGGUAGCAUAAUAACUUGCCUAUUAAUUGUAGGCUAGAAUGAACGGAUAAACGAAAUAAAAGCUGUCUCAAUUAAUCACCUAAAAAUUAUUACUCACAUGAAGAAAAGUGUAUGAGUUCGAAGGACAAGAAGACCCUACAGAGCUUAAUUUAAAUGUAACAUACAGAAACACAGAAUUCAGUUGGGGCGACUACGGAACUAUAAAACAGCCGUAAAAAAUAAGAUAUAUUAAUCAAGGAAUUGACCCUACUAAGAUCACAAAAUAAAGCUACCUUAGGGAUAACAGGCUAAUCCCAUUAAAGAGUCCAUAUCAGUAAUGGGGAUUGGCACCUCGAUGUUGGCUUAGGGUAUCGAUAUAGCGCAAAAGUUAUAUAAAGAUGGUUUGUUCCACCA